CGGACGCGCCCGAGCGAGGGAGCGGAGGCGACUCGGCCGCCAUGUUAGGAGUGCCGGGAGGACUCCGCGGAGCCGCGCGGAGGUUCAGGGAGCGCGGGAUCCGAGUGGUGGUGCGGUGGGGACGGUGAGGUGGAGAGUUUGGGCCUUCACUUAUUUCUCAUACGGAAGUGAUUUGCAAAGGUCUUAAAAGAAACCCGUUAUUGGAAGGUACGGGCUAGAAGGGAACAUUGCUUUGGCCUUGAAGAUGAGAAAAAAAAACAUGGAGCAGCCUAAAGGAGAAACACCCAGUUGAACGACAACUCACUGACUGGAGAAAGCAGGGAGGUUGAAAGGGCAUAUUAUUUAUAGGCUUACCGAGGGCGGGUGAACUGAUCCGGAGUAACACUGGUUCUUGGAUAAAAGAAGUGUAUGCUAAGUUGAUUAACAUGGAUUGCCAGUUUAUUUAAGAAUUCAUUUAGUGUGUGGUAUUCCAUACGUAUGAUUGCUUUAAGAACUUUUAAGUCAUUUUGCCCAGUCUCUUAAAUGAACUGUAUUUUUUUUCCCAAUUGUGUUACUAAAACAGAAUUGUAUGUUUGUUCUUUUCCAGAGUCUGUCUACACUAUGGAAAGAUGGGAAAUUUCAUUUCCUUCUGAGGGUGUCUCAAGGGUUAAAGAAAAUGCUGUUAUCUGUGCUUCCCCCACCCACUUCUCCCUUUUGCACUUUAUUCUGAGAACAGAAUUAACUGUGGUUUGGGGGGGUUAGUGGAGGUAUGCACUAUAUCUCUAUUAGGACGUAAUAAAAUUAGAGCAGAUAGUUUCUCCUAUUAAAAAAAAAAAGGCUAGUCAAGAGUGAUUUAAAAUGACCAAAACAGGCAGAAACAGUCUUUCAGAUGUAUGCAGAUGAUAAUUGUAAAAACAGAAUUUGAAAGACUCGACAUAUGUCAUGUUCCUGGGAACAAGCCACAAGAUGAGUCACUUUGUUUCAUUCUUACACAAAGGUAAAUUGUUGGUGUCAUUUAUCCAUGAAUACAACCAUGUACAAGGCUCAUACAAAUAUUCAGAAACACUUUUGCAAAUACUGAUGGUAAGUAGUUGGAAAGAAGCAAAUGCUUACUUUUUUUUUUCUGACCUCUGACUUACCCUAGAAAUGUUUUAAGCUAAUACAUCUUGUGCAUUUUAUGAGACAGUUAUGUAAGCAACAGCCUUAGUUUGAGUUACUGUGAAAGGCCAGUAUAUAGUGGUGAAAGGAACAGAAUGCUCAAAAAUCUUAUGUGUGAAAAAUAAGAGUGAUAUCUUUUUUAAGUUUAAAGUUGUUCAUCUGAACAUCUGGCCAUACAUGAAACGAAUGUAUUUAGUAUCCUUAAAAUUGUCCAUGAUUUAAUUCUUUUUUUUCUUUUAAACUUUUUUUUUUUUUUAGUUGUAGUUGGGACACAGUGCCUUUAUUUUAUUUAUUGCUAUGUGAUGCUAAGGAUCAAACCCAGCGCCUCGAACAUGCUAGGUAGCACUCCACUGCUGAGCCACAAUCCCAGCCCCUCCAUGAUGUAAUUCUUUCUUUGAUGGGGGGGAAAAAUUCCACACUCCUCUUUAGAAAUUUGAUUUACAAAUUAAUAUCUGUGGGUCUGUGAUGAUAGCUUCUGAAAGAAUAGCCUGAGGAAAACAUUGAAUUAGAAAAACAUUUUAAAAUUUGAAUUAGGAAAGAGAUAAACUACAUUCAAGUAUCAUAGGUAGCACAUUUAAGAGUAUUGAGUCAGUUGCAUUUAGAGCAGAGGUUUUUUUCAACAAGGAUAAGUGUCAGGAUUGCCUAUAAAAAUCUAAAAAUAUAUUACUACUGCCCAUCCAUCCCUGUUGAACUGGAACCAACUAUUGAGUAUUUUUAGAACUUUAAAAGUGUGACUACAGGGCUUGGGUGGAGUAGUCUUCUGCAUCUUGUAUUUGUGUUUUUGUAUUAUCUAAAGCAAGGAAUAACAAAAAGAUUUUGGCAAGAACUAGUUAAUUGCUGAUUUAAUCCAUGUGAUUUCUGAAAGUGUAGAUGAGGGAUUCACCUGGUGAUCAACUUAACAUUGGCAUUUGGGAAGCAAAUGCAGUUGAAAUUGAGGAGAAGAAAUCAAUGUUAACCUUAAAAGUACUGCCAUAUCAUCACUUACCUGGAUGUUUCUGAGAGUGAAGGUUUAGCCUAAUCCUAACAAAGCCUAAUAAUAAGAAACACCCAGUAAUAGCACAAUGCCAGUAAGAGCUCAUUGCCCUGAUAAAAUCAUGGUAGUUAUUCAGAAAGAGGCAACAUGAUAUUUUGGUUUGGGGAAUUUUCUGGAAAUAACAACCCUUUGCCCUAAAUCUAGAAUUUUUUUAGAUUAUUGAUAUUGUAACAUUGUUCUUGAUGUUUCAGGGUCUAAAGUCAUAUAGGCCCCUUUUUAGAAAUGAGAAAUCUUACAGAUUGUCUAAGACGUGUUCUACAGAAGAGGAAAUGGACACAGUAAAUUUUAAAAUUACUAGUGGUCACACUGCACACUAGUGGUAAGAAGCAUAGCUAAAGGUGAAAUCCAGUUCCUUCUAUCUUUAGUGCUAUGCGCAUUUUUUUAAGCUCCAGAUUUAUUUUCCCUAUGAUACUCUAGGGUUUAUACAUUUCAGUAUAUAUUUGAUUUUAGUGUUGGAAUCUCAGACAAUUUAAAUUUAGAAUUGCUUUGUACCUUACCAAAUUUUGAAAUAAUCCUUUUCAUAUUCUGACCUAUGAAGUUUGGAAAACCUGCCAUCUGCUAUGUUGCCUACCCUUCCAUUUCAGCAAUUGUCUUACCAAUUCCAGAAAUGCAGUGCCAAUAACCCAAAGGUGAUAACAGGCCCAGCAGUUACAUUAAAACUUACUCUAACCAACAAAUAAAGUAAUCAAGACAAUAAGCAAACAUAAAGGGAGAAAAUAAAAACAUUACAAAAAUGUCUUUUCAGAACCUCCCCUUAGAUUGAGUUAAAGGUUUUCAGCCAAUAUUUUCACAAGUAGUUACAGAUAAGCCUGCUGUUUAGGUUUAGUAACUGGAGUUUCUCCAGGGAAGAUCUUUAAUUCUGAACAGGAAGAAAAAAAAAAAAAUCCCCCUUGGUAUGGGGGAUUGAACCUGAAGUCUACCACUGAGCUUCAUCCCUACCCCUUUUUAAGUUUUUUGUUUUUUGUUUUUUGUUUUUUUUUUGAGGCACUGUCUCACUAGAUUUCCCAGGGUGAUCUUGAACUUGCAAUUCUACCUCAGAAUCUUAAGUUGUUGAUAGUACAGGAAUGGAGUGCCACACCCAACAAGAAAAAAGUUAUAUUAAGAAGACAAAAGAGUAUGUUUUCUACUCUUGGGUAACCCAACCAUCGUGUAUAUAAUGGAUUGACAAGUUUAGCUGCUGGGUUUAAUGUACCACUGAAGAUUAAUGUUCCAACAGCAAGAUUUGAGGUUCACAUAUCCAUAGUUAAUGAUUAACCAGAAAAGGUGACCUGUCUUUAUUCUAUGAUUUUUGUUCUCAGUUUUUAGCAGAUUUGGGUAAUAAGGGAGCCCCAGAAAACAUUUCUUUGAGUACAUACAGUUGAAGCUAUCAAUGUAAGUAUGUUUUAUGAACAGCCAUUUUAGGAAAUUCAAACAUGCAGAGAUGCUCAAAUUGAAGUAAGUAGAUACAUAGUCAUAAGUCAAUUUGCUAGCAAAUCUUUGAGGGUGCUCUCUACAUGAACUUGCUGUUAAGGUUAAUCCUUUUAGUUGUAUCUUAAAAUCUUUUAUAAAUGGCUUUCUUGAGAUGAAAUUCCUCUGUCCAGCCAUUUAAUGUGUGCAAUCCACUGGGUGUUAAAUUUGUUCAUGUUGUGCAACCAUUACUGCAAACAAGAAAACAAAAAGUUUUUUCUUUUUUUUUUUUUUUUUUUAAUCAUGCUGAAAUAAAAGUUAUCCAAGGAUUUUGUUUUUGCCUUAAGGAUAGUGGUGCAGGUAAUUUGACAAGAAUAUUUGCAUUAUAACUUCAAUACUGUAAACAGUAUGUUUCAUAUAUGUAAGAUCUGGUCUUCACUGGUCACAUAAUAUUUUGUUGCAAUACUAACAAUUUUACAGCUUUUACUUGUUUACCUUUGGCAAUCUACAUACAAGAGAAUCUCAAUUCCAA